rnacentral:ncRNA from 1 species
ACCGCUGCUGAGAGGCAGCGCUGAACGUGCAGAAGUCAGCAGAGGCCAUAGUAGCUUUUUUUAGUGAAGGGC